GGGGCGGCGCAAGGGGCAAGGGCAGGGGCAGGGCGCGGACAACUGUGGGGAUGGGCGGGCAAAUGGCGGGGAUGGGCGGGGACAAUGGCGGGAUGGGCGGGGACAAUGGCGGGAUGGGCGGGGCCUAGGGGUCGGACUGCCGGACCUCUCCUCGGCGCGUCCCAGCGACUUUUUUAGGCCUGUUUGUCGCCCAGCAGUACUCGAUUCUUCACUUUUGGAUUCCCUUGAAUCUCUAUGGUGUCCUUUGGAGCCUAGCUAAGGGGAAGAAAUCGUCAUAAGUGAAAGGUUAUUUUCCAUGAAAAUGUGGCCCACAACUCGUGUUGCCAUGCAGAACCUUCUGCUUACUCAAUAUUGAGUGCUGGAAAAUGACAGAAUGGCCUCUGUGGACCUGAAAAUUGGAAUGAUCUUCCUAUUUGUGGGCAGCAAGCCACCCAGCUGCCGAGGCAAGAGACCGAGGGCACGAGCUGUUCCAGCAUAAUAAAAUAUAUAAAACAACAAGAGUUAUAUUAGAUCUAGAUCAUAGACAUGAUUAUAUAUGAAUAUCA
rnacentral:lncRNA from 1 species